rnacentral:rRNA from 1 species
AUGUCCAGCAGAGAUUACUCUGUUCAUGCUGAUUUAAUAUGUGGCGAAUCUACUGCUCCUAAUACGGAUCUCGUGGACAGCAGUACAGAUGGAUGGGACAAAAGACCAAUCCACGAAGUUGAGGUAGAAGUCGUCCUGCCUCCCGCGACUCCGCUGGCGGCCGCCGCCGCCGCCACUGCGCAGCCCCCUCCGCCGCCCUCGCCCAUGGCCCCCGUAGCCCCCGCCGCCUCCCCCGCCGCCGCCCCUCCUCCUCCCCCUCCCAGCCCGGCCGGGGAUGAAGGCCCUGACCCGGAUCCCGACCCGCGCUCCUCUCCGGCGACGGCGCCGCCCGAGCCUGGAGAAGGUGGCUGCUCCCCCUCCCAGGAAGGAUGCUGGACUGCCUCGCACUUUCAAGCAGAGGACUUUCGGCCUCUGCUUUCGGUGCUUGGCGUCGGACCACUUCGUCGCGGGCUGCCGCGGCCCUGUCCGGUGCUUGGGAUGUGGCCACUCCGGGCAUCGCGAGCGGGAGUGCUUGGCACGGCAUCCUGCCGGUUCAGAACCUCGCCGUCCCCCCUCGCGCCUACCGGGCCUCGUCAGCGGCCUCCCCCCUCCAGCGGCUCGCCUCCAGCCCCACUUCAUCGACCUGGUCGCACUUGGGCUUCGGUGGUCUCUCAUCAAGACAACCCUGCGACUGAUGGUGUCGUGCCGGCGGCUGUCCCCGGCGUGCCUCCUACUGUUUUGGAGCCCUUGCGGCCUCUCCUUGCAGCUCAGGCGGAGGCGCUCGGCGCUGAGUUACAGGCCUUGUUCGCUGCUCGUCUUGAGGUGCUGUUCAAGCCUCUUCAAGACUUGGUUGCUGCUGUGGAGAGUUGGACUGCUCAAGUCUCAAGCCUAUGGGAACCUAUGGAAGCUAUCGGGGGCAGCCAAGACCUUGCCAAUGUUGAAUCUGCUCCUCCUGCUAUGGCCGUUGGUGAGGAUUGCAGUGCGCUUGUUGUGGCUGGCUGCUCAGCUGAGUUGAGUGAGAAGGUUCAGUCCGUUGAUGAUCCACCUGCCUUGGAAAAGGUCAUGCUCGAGGAUGAUCCUCCUGACUUGGCUUCUGUCCUACCCGGGAUGUCGACACUGGAGGAGCCGAAGGUUUCCAGUGCUCCUUGCACCGGGAAGCCUUCAAAGGAGCUGAUCCAGAUGGGUGCAGAUGAGCCUCUUGGGAGAGCCUCCUCUCCGUGGGAGGAGUUCCUCGAAGAGCUUGCUCUCACUGCGUCGAGCUCGCCGCAAGUUUUGCAGGUGGGAGAGGCUGCCCCUUCUCUCUUUGAGCGACGAAGCUGUCGUUUGGACAAGAAAAACAAAGAUUGCGACAUUCCUGUAGCCAAGCGCGCGGAGUAUAGGCGGGCGGAGGCCUUUGGGGAGGUUCCAACACUCAAGAGCAAAGGAAAAGCAUCUGAGGAAGACCUGAAUGAGAAGAUGCAACACUAUCUGCAGAUGUACAAGAAGGAACACACGCCCAAGGUGAUCGAGGCGGGAGUUUUAUUUUCUAUUGAUAGGUUCGUUCUUGAUGUCUGGAAUGUUUUCUUUUUGCAACAAAAUUAUGCUUGUGGCAUUCGAACCUGGGCUGUGCUUCGUCCAUUUGUCUAUGUACUCAUUAGUAUGAUAUUUGAGCAUUGGAGGUAUCAGGAUGCAAACAUGCGUAGGAAGUAUGUUUCUGGGAGAUCCAACACAAGUGUGGCAUGGGUGGCCGUGUUCGCAUUAAUCGAGUACAAAACAAGGUGGCACUGGCCUCCCUUGGUCUAUGCGGACGGGCAGGCGACCCUUGAUGACCACGACAAGGAGGUUAGGCGCGGCGGUCCACAUGCAAGCAUGUCCCUGUGGGCGUUCGCUGCUUGUGGCGCAGAAGGGAGUUUCCAAGCGUCAUUGGGCCAUAUCUGCCAUGCCUACGUCCUGGAAGCCCCAACCACUCGCAUCAUCGGUUGGGAUGGAGCCAACCGUGAUGUCCAGGGAAAGCACGGGAGGAAUAAAUCUUCAAGACGACGCCCCAAAGGGGGAUGCUACGUGGAAACAACGCCGUUGUCCGACCUUGGAAUAUGGCCAUCGGCUUUCACUCGAAGACGACCCCGAGGAUGGACAAGGCUAGAAGCUCCACGACAACUCUUCAGGAGGGAAAAACGACGUCCACGGAAGCCAUGUCGUCAGAGUCGACACAAGCCACGUAGGCCAUCGCCCAGAGCAACUUGCCUCCACACUCCACAUAACCACCCACCAGCAGGAAAACCUGCAGCCGAUCUGCAAACCCGCUGGCCCACGCACCCCUGGCGCUAUAUUGAUGGCUGCGCCAUCGGCAGGUCGGCAAGCCAGCCCGCACAAGGAGGAGGGGCCGCCACCCCACUCCAUCACUCUGGAUUGAGGCGCCAGAUCCGCAACCCGUCGCCGAACCAGCAUCGACAGUCGUCAUCCAGAGGCCGGACCGGAAGGGCACCACGCGGUCUACCAGAUCGGGGCUGCCGGGACCCCGCCACCAAGGUCGUGUGUCAUAGGCACCCGUGCCGAGCCUCCCACCACCGAGGGCACGCCCAGCAGCGCGAGGGAACGCCCCGUCGAUGCCGUCAACCGGUCGGGCCUAGCCCGGUGGCAUCAUCCGAUGACGGCGAGGGGAGGAAGAGCGAUGGGAUGGGCCUGGGGUGGCGGUUAGGACACGCAGAGGUUGAAGCCUACAACCUCCUCCCCCUCCAAAAAAAACACGAUGAGCAAACAUCUCUUGGCUGGUGUUGGGCAUCUUCAAGGCGGACCCCCAAACCACUCGCAUGCAUCCGCACAGCACUGUUCGGACCGCGGAAGCCAACCAACACGGGCCUGUAUCGGUCUGCAGGACGGUCCGGACGUGUUUUCUUGCGUAAACCAGAGACAAACAUUGGGCGCCCAACCCCCACCACACUUUCCUUCCAAUGCAUGCGCCAAGCACCGCGCUGUAUUCAUGCCGCCCCAGAGCAUGCAGUGUCCAUCAUUGAUGCCACAUGA